AAUACUGCGGGAGGGGAGCAGCGCUUCCUUUUUUAACCGUGAGAGGGGAGGUGGGGGGAGACGGUAAACAGUUCCCAGAAAAGGGAAAAGGCUUUGCAGAGGAAACAAUCAGUGUCCACUUCUAGGGACGAGUGUUCACGUUACCAGCCAACCACUUUGUACCAAGUGUCUGUUCUGCUCAAGCUUACAAUGGAGAGACAGGGCAAUAACUCACAAGAGAAACCCGAGACAUACGACACCGUGAGAUUAAUCAUCUACUGACGCAGCUUGGAAGUUUCACAAUGGAUCCAGAGAUGAUGAAUUCAUCUGAGGUCGAGAUCCUGGGAAGGUUGCCAGUGAGAUUCCUCAGCAGUCAGCCAAAAAGAUCAGAGACUGUUCUCACCUGGCAGGGUCAUCAGAUCACCUGCUCCUUCUUGUCCUGGGUCGCUCUUAGCUCUUUUGACAGCUCUUCAUGGCUCAGACUUCUGACACUUCAUUGUCUCCCAAGAUACCUUACUCCUCUACUUCCUACGGAUGACAUCAUGCCGCUGGGGGCCAGAGAAUAGAAAUGAAAAGUACCCUAAAUAUGACAGAGGUGCCAUGAAAAUACCAAGGCCCGACAUCUCAAUAAAGGUUCUAGGAUCCGGCAUUACGAA